rnacentral:rRNA from 1 species
AUGAAAAUGCCGUACACAGUAGAAGGGUCAAACUUUUAUGUACAAGAAUCUACAAGCUACAUCAUCUGUCAGAUUUGUUCAGCUUCUCUUAUGGAAGUUGUUCGUGUACAAAUAGUAAGAGUGCAGCAGAGAAUUGAGAUCGGAGUCUUCAUUGCCAACAGCUUCGUUUCUAGUCAUUCGUUUGUUUCAAAGCCCAUCUAUCAGGGCUCCAUGCUAGUUCUUGCAAAGUUUUUUUAUAGCCUAAUAAACAAAUCCAAUAAAGUUCGGUGUGGAAUACUGCAUCUUUACUAUAAUAAAUACCUGAUGCUGGUACUACGAGUAUUAAAUUUCAAAUGUGGGUAUUGA